UGUUGUUGUUGCUGUUAAAAGAAAAAAAUGGUCUGUAGCUGCAAGGAGUUACGGGCCUGAAAUUUUCUUACCCGGCAGGCAGACUUAAAUGUGGAUCAGCAGAUACCAACGCCCUUAACCCAGGCUCCAGUUUCAAAGGGGAGCGGGCAUGGGAUACACCCUGGAGAAUCUGAAGAUGCCAAAUAAAUGGAAGGAAUCAGCAGGCAGUAUUGUAACCUGCUGUGCGAUCUUCACGAAGGAUGAGGCCAUGACUGGCAGGGGGACUCUCAAAGAUCAGCUAAAUCUGGCAUAUGAUGUGAAGUCAUCUAAAGGAGAAAAAACUUACUGCAUUAAUCCACACCAGGGUGAUGGAAAAGAAGUUGAAGUCUGAAUUGGGAAACCAUCUGGAUAGUUCCAUCAAAGCAGCAGUAAGUCAGCGAAAACCAAGGAGGACCUGCCAGGGUGACACAGACAUCUGUGGGUUUCUGUGAUUCUUUAUUACAAAUUUAAACACUGCUGAGGUGGGUGCAUCAGGCUGGUCUUAAGGUAAAGGGUAGAGAGGGACCUUAGGGAGGCUAUUACUCACCAGUUAAAGAAUUGCUCUAUAGGAAUGAUCUCUUUAAGAGAAUGCACACAGAAUAAUAAAGGCAAAGUGAAGGGACUAUCCCAGGAGACAAAUAUGGCAGGUUAUGAAGCUGCGGAUUAUAUAAGAGUCGAGAUGAUAGCAGUGUGCAAAUAGUUUUUAUGGAUUGAAAUACUCCUUCCAACUAUAAUUAAGCAGAGUCGACAGUCUUGAAUGUUUAAUCAUAUGCUUAACUGUUGAAUGUAUUUACAUCCCAGGCAAUAGCAGCCAAUCUAUUUCUUAUUCUGAUGACACGUCACAACCAGAAUCCAAGCUUGGUUGGAAAUGCAUUAUUUAAACGUGAAUAAAUGACUACUGAUACAGUUCAGUUGGGCUUAAAAAGAUUGUAUCUCACAUACACAAA